GAUCUCUGCCUGAUGAUUGGCUGAUACAUAGAGUGGGUUGCGCGAGAUAGCUGAAGCGGGUAAGAAAUUGCCGCCUCCACAGGGCAGGGCGGUCGGAGCGUGUCCCAGCCCGCCAUUUCCCCUCAGAGCGCCCUCGGCGUCCCUUCCAUGGGGUGAUGCUGCAGCCGCCAGCCUCUUCCCCCACAGGGUCACCAGAGCCCCUGCAUCCUGUGGGGCGGGCUGGAGGGCUGUGUGCUCAUCUCUGCCUGCCCGGCCUCUCGUGCCACCUGCCAAGUCAUUGCACGCGCCCCGCCGCUCGCUCGCUCCCCUGCUGCUGUGACGUUGGCCUUUGCUCAUGUCACGAUGCAGCUUGUGCUUCGCUCCGCAUCUUACCCACUUUAGCACCUAGAUGAUCGUUUCAGGCUGGACCAGCUGUGACUGGAGGCCUUCCAGACCCAAGGCUUCUGCAGGCGCACCUGUCCCAUGGAUGACUAUCAGAGGCAGCACCUGGCAGCACUCUGGGCCCUGCACCAAACCAUCCACAGCUGGGUGAAGGAGGACCUGCAGCUAUGGCAGGAGAGCUGGUGGGAGCUGCUUGUGCAGGGCCACUCCCUAUGUGAUGAUGUGCACUCCCUUGUGCAGAGCAUGCUACCUCCUCCUGCUCCAGCCUCUGCUCCAUCUCCUGUUGUCUUUCCUGCUCCCCCACUUCCUCUCCCCCUCCCGUUUCUCCCUUCACCUCCUCCUCCCCCUCCAGUGGACGCCAAGGCCCCCGCACUCAUGGCAGUGGGAUCCACAGAGCCCAGCAUCACUUCCAGCCCUAAGCCUCUUCUCCCCCUUUUUCUCCCUUCCAACUCCCUCCGCCAAGAUUUUGAACACCCCCCUUCUUCCACCCUCUUUCCUCCCCUCUCCCAGAUUCUUUCUCCAGCCUCUCCCUAGUUUCUUUGACCCCACAGUUAUGUAAAACACAGAGCGUUUAGUUUUAACAAAAAAA